AAUCUUAUAGUUUAAUGAAAAUAUAAUAUUGAAAAUAUUAAGAUAUUAGUUUAAGGUUA
rnacentral:tRNA from 2 species